rnacentral:rRNA from 1 species
AUUGAACGCUGGCGGCAUGCCUUACACAUGCAAGUCGAACGGCAGCACGGGAGCAAUCCUGGUGGCGAGUGGCGAACGGGUGAGUAAAGUAUCGGAACGUGCCCAGUCGUGGGGGAUAACGUAGCGAAAGUUACGCUAAUACCGCAUACGCUCUAUGGAUGAAAGCGGGGGAUCGCAAGACCUCGCGCGAUUGGAGCGGCCGAUAUCAGAUUAGGUAGUUGGGGGGGUAAAGGCUCACCAAGCCGACGAUCUGUAGCUGGUCUGAGAGGACGACCAGCCACACUGGGACUGAGACACGGCCCAGACUCCUACGGGAGGCAGCAGUGGGGAAUUUUGGACAAUGGGCGCAAGCCUGAUCCAGCCAUGCCGCGUGCAGGAUGAAGGCCUUCGGGUUGUAAACUGCUUUUGUACGGAACGAAAAGGUUUGACUUAAUACGUUGGACUCAUGACGGUACCGUAAGAAUAAGCACCGGCUAACUACGUGCCAGCCGCCGCAGUAA